rnacentral:rRNA from 1 species
GCGGAGAUAUAUGGAGCUUGCUUUAUUAACUUAGCAGCGAACGGGUGAGUAACACGUAGAUAAUCUAUCCUAUACUGGGGGAUAGCCCGAUGAAAGUUGGAUUAAUACCGCAUAUAGCUAUAUAGUUGCAUGAUUAUGUAGUGAAAGAUUUAUUGGUAUAGGAGGAGUCUGCGGCACAUUAGCUAGUAGGUGAGGUAAAGGCUUACCUAGGCGACGAUGUGUAGCCGGUCUGAGAGGAUGAACGGCCACAAUGGAACUGAGACACGGUCCAUACUCCUACGGGAGGCAGCAGUGGGGAAUAUUGCACAAUGGGGGAAACCCUGAUGCAGCAACGCCGCGUGAGUGAAGAAGGUUUUCGGAUUGUAAAGCUCUGUUAGCAGGGAAGAGGAAGGACGGUACCUGCAGAGGAAGCCACGGCUAACUACGUGCCAGCAGCCGCGGUAAUACGUAGGUGGCAAGCGUUGUUCGGAAUAACUGGGCGUAAAGGAUGCGUAGGCGGUUAAACAAGUUAUAUGUUAAAUAUAUAGGCUUAACCUGUAGAAAGCAUAUAAAACUGUUUAACUAGAGUGCAGGAGAGGUAAGUGGAAUUCCUAGUGUAGCGGUGAAAUGCGUAGAGAUUAGGAAGAACACCAGUGGCGAAGGCGACUUACUGGACUGUAACUGACGCUGAGGCAUGAGAGCAUGGGGAGCAAACAGGAUUAGAUACCCUGGUAGUCCAUGCUGUAAACGAUGGGUACUAGGUGUGGGUUGUGAAUAACNAUUCGUGCCGUCGCAAACGCAAUAANUACCCCGCCUGAGGAGUACGAUCGCAAGAUUUAAACUCAAAGGAA